ACUCAAAUGAAUUGACGGGGGCCCGCACAAGCAGCGGAGCGUGCGGUUCAAUUCGAUGCAACACGAAGAACCUUACCAGGGCUUGACAUGGCGGUGGUAGGGACGCGAAAGCGAACCGACCCGCAAGGGAGCCGUCACAGGUGAUGCAUGGCUGUCGUCAGCUCGUGCCGUGAGGUGUUGGGUUAAGUCCCGCAACGAGCGCAACCCUUGUCGUUAGUUAUACGUGUCUAGCGAGACUGCCGGAUUAUUGCCGGAGGAAGGUGGGGACGACGUCAAGUCAGCAUGUCCUUUAUGUCCUGGGCGACACGCACGCUACAAUGGGCGUGACAAUCCGUAGCCAAGCCGCGAGGCGGAGCUAAUCGUAAAAAAGCGCCCUCAGUUCAGAUUGCAGGCUGCAACCCGCCUGCAUGAAGUCGGAGUUGCUAGUAAACGCGCGUCAGCCAUAGUGCGUUGAAUACGUUCCCGGGCCUUGUACACACCGCCCGU
rnacentral:rRNA from 1 species